rnacentral:rRNA from 1 species
GUGGGGAAUAUUGCGCAAUGGGGGAAACCCUGACGCAGCGACGCCGUGUGAGGGAAGAAGGCUUUCGGGUCGUAAACCUCUGUCAGAAAGGAAGAACCUCCCAAGUCCGAAUAGGGCUUGGGACUGACGGUACUUUCAAAGGAAGCACCGGCUAACUCCGUGCCAGCAGCCGCGGUAAUACGGAGGGUGCAAGCGUUAAUCGGAAUCACUGGGCGUAAAGCGCGCGUAGGCCGCUUUGUAAGUCGGACGUGAAAGCCCUCGGCUCAACCGGGGAACGGCGUUCGAUACUGCGAUGCUUGAGUCCUGGAGAGGGUUGCGGAAUUCCGGGUGUAGGAGUGAGAUCCAUAGAUAUCCGGAGGAACUCCGCUGGCGAAGGCGUCCACCUAUACAGGUACUGACUCUGAGGAGCGAAAACGUGGAGAGCAAACAGGAUUAAAAACCCCAGUAAUCC